GUGGGUGUAGCUCAAUAGGUUAGAGCACCUGAUUGUGGUUCAGGAGGUUGUGGGUUCGAGACCCAUCACUCACC
rnacentral:tRNA from 1 species